rnacentral:rRNA from 1 species
GAUGAACGCUGGCGGCGUGCCUAAUACAUGCAAGUCGAGCGAACAGACGAGGAGCUUGCUCCUCUGACGUUAGCGGCGGACGGGUGAGUAACACGUGGAUAACCUACCUAUAAGACUGGGAUAACUUCGGGAAACCGGAGCUAAUACCGGAUAAUAUAUUGAACCGCAUGGUUCAGUAGUGAAAGACGGUUUUGCUGUCACUUAUAGAUGGAUCCGCGCCGCAUUAGCUAGUUGGUAAGGUAACGGCUUACCAAGGCAACGAUGCGUAGCCGACCUGAGAGGGUGAUCGGCCACACUGGAACUUAGACACGGUCCAGACUCCUACGGGAGGCAGCAGUAGGGAAUCUUCCGCAAUGGGCGAAAGCCUGACGGAGCAACGCCGCGUGAGUGAUGAAGGUCUUCGGAUCGUAAAACUCUGUUAUUAGGGAAGAACAAAUGUGUAAGUAACUAUGCACGUCUUGACGGUACCUAAUCAGAAAGCCACGGCUAACUACGUG